rnacentral:rRNA from 1 species
AUUGAACGCUGGCGGCAGGCUUAACACAUGCAAGUCGAACGAGAAAGCCCGCAAGGGUGAGUAGAGUGGCGCACGGGUGAGUAAUAAAUAGGAAUGUACCUAUGGGUGGGGGAUAACCAAGGGAAACUUUGGCUAAUACCGCAUGUUAUCGAAAGAUAAAAGGGGGCGUCGGGCAACCGAGCUUUCGCCGAUAGAGCAGCCUAUUUCCCAUUAGCUAGUUGGUGGGGUAAAGGCCUACCAAGGCUACGAUGGGUAGCUGGUCUGAGAGGACGAUCAGCCACACUGGAACUGAGACACGGUCCAGACUCCUACGGGAGGCAGCAGUGGGGAAUCUUGCACAAUGGGCGAAAGCCUGAUGCAGCAACGCCGCGUGAGUGAAGAAGGCCUUUGGGUUGUAAAGCUCUUUCGGCUGGGAAGAAGGGAAUAUGAGCUAAUACCUCAUGUUUUUGACGGUACCAGCAUAAGAAGCACCGGCUAAUUCCGUGCCAGCCGCCGCCGUAA